rnacentral:rRNA from 1 species
GACAGAGGUCUCGAGCGUUAGGCGGAAUCACUGGGCUUAAAGCGUGUGUAGGCGGAGUGCUAAGUACCUUGUGAAAUCCCACGGCUCACCCGUGGAACUGCUGGGCAUACUGGCGAUCUUGGGCCAACUAGGGGCAACUGGAACAAGCGGUGGAGCGGUGAAAUGCGUAGAUAUCGCUUGGAACGCCGAAGGUGAAAACAGGUUGCUGGGGUUGUGCCGACGCUGAGACACGAAAGCCAGGGGAGCAAACGGG